ACGAACGCUGGCGGCGUGGAUUAGGCAUGCAAGUCGAACGAUUUAUUCUGGUGUAGCAAUACAUCAGGAUGAGAAGUGGCGAAAGGGUGCGUAACACAUGAGCAAUCUACCCUUGUGUUGGGGAUAACCCCGUGAAAACGGGACUAAGACCAGAUGACACAUUUAGAAGGCAUCUUUUAAUUGUUAAAGGCGGGGACCGAAAGGCCUGACGCAUAAGGAUGAGCUCGUGGCCUAUCAGCUUGUUGGUAGGGUAACGGCCUACCAAGGCUAAGACGGGUAGCUGGUCUGAGAGGAUGGUCAGCCACACUGGGACUGAGACACUGCCCAGACUCCUACGGGAGGCUGCAGUCGAGAAUCUUUCGCAAUGGGGGAAACCCUGACGAUGCGACGCCGCGUGCAGGAUGAAGGCUUUCGAGUCGUAAACUGCUGUCGAACGGGAAGAAAAAUCAGCCUAUGAACAAUGGACUGGUUUGACGGUACUGUUGGAGGAAGCCCCGGCUAACUACGUGCCAGCAGCCGCGGUAAUACGUAGGGGGCAAGCGUUGUUCGGAUUUACUGGGCGUAAAGGGUGUGUAGGCGGUUAUGCAAGUCGAAUGUGAAAUACCUUGGCUCAACCAAGGAAGUGCAUUCGAAACUAUAUAGCUAGAGUUCGGGAGAGGAGAGCGGAAUUCUCGGUGUAGCGGUGAAAUGCGUGGAGAUCGAGAAGAACACCAGCGGUGAAAACGGCUCUCUAGACCGGUACUGACGCUUAGGCACGAAAGCGUGGGGAGCGAACGGGAUUAGAUACCCCGGUAGUCCACGCCUUAAACGAUGUCGACUUGGUGUAGGGGGUAUCGACCCCCCCUGUGCCGAAGCUAACGUAUUAAGUCGACCGCCUGGGGAGUACGGCCGCAAGGUUAAAACUCAAAGGAAUAGACGGGGGCCCGCACAAGCGGUGGAGCAUGUGGUUUAAUUCGACGCAACGCGAAGAACCUUACCAGGGCUUGACAUGCUGGUAGUAGGAACCUGAAAAGGGGACGAGUCCGCAAGGAAAGCCAGCACAGGUGUUGCAUGGCUGUCGUCAGCUCGUGUCGUGAGAUGUUAGGUUAAGUCCUGCAACGAGCGCAACCCUUAUCUUUAGUUGCCAUUUCCGUCUUUAGGCGGGAGGAACUCUAGAGAGACUGCCCCGGUUAACGGGGAGGAAGGUGGGGAUGACGUCAAGUCAUUAUGGCCCUUACGCCCUGGGCUACACACGUGCUACAAUGGCCGGUACUAAGGGAAGCCAACCUGCAAGGGGGAGCGAAUCCCAAAAAACCGGCCCCAGUUCAGAUUGGAGUCUGCAACUCGACUCCAUGAAGCCGGAAUCGCUAGUAAUGGCGCAUCAGCCACGGCGCCGUGAAUACGUUCCCGGGCCUUGUACACACCGCCCGUCACACCAUGGGAGUUGGCUUUACCUGAAGACGGUGCGCUAACCAGCAAUGGAGGCAGCCGGCCACGGUAGGGUCAGCGACUGGGGUG
rnacentral:rRNA from 1 species